rnacentral:rRNA from 1 species
AGUGAACGCUGGCGGUAGGCCUAACACAUGCAAGUCGAACGGCAGCACAGUAAGAGCUUGCUCUUACGGGUGGCGAGUGGCGGACGGGUGAGGAAUACAUCGGAAUCUACUUUUUCGUGGGGGAUAACGUAGGGAAACUUACGCUAAUACCGCAUACGACCUACGGGUGAAAGCAGGGGAUCUUCGGACCUUGCGCGAUUGAAUGAGCCGAUGUCGGAUUAGCUAGUUGGCGGGGUAAAGGCCCACCAGGGCGACGAUCCGUAGCUGGUCUGAGAGGAUGAUCAGCCACACUGGAACUGAGACACGGUCCAGACUCCUACGGGAGGCAGCAGUGGGGAAUAUUGGACAAUGGGCGCAAGCCUGAUCCAGCCAUACCGCGUGGGUGAAGAAGGCCUUCGGGUUGUAAAGCCCUUUUGUUGGGAAAGAAAAGCAGCAGGUUAAUAUCCCGCUGUUCUGACGGUACCCAAAGAAUAAGCACCGGCUAACUUCGUG